rnacentral:lncRNA from 1 species
AUGGUGGGACUCCAGGGCCGGCGGCUCAGAGCCUGGCACUCUGCCUCCGCGGUGGUGGGUGGCAGCCUGCCCUUGUCAGACACUGGGCAUCAGGCAGGGCACUUGGGGGAGGAAGUGACUGCAUUUACAGACAGGUUUCCAAGGUAUCUACACUGCAUAGUUAGCCUCAGAGCAUUCACCAGUGGAUUAGCGACCGCAAAUGUUCAUUCCCAGCCUGGCUCCGAUCUGCACGUCUGCUCCCUGUCCUCCCUCUCCGGCCCUCCUGCAUCUGGAGUCUCUCUCCAGCUUGUGUGCAGACAGGGCGAACUCCAGAGACGUCAGGCUGAGCAGACGGUGGGAAGAAGCAGAGAGCUUUGCAUUGCUGUGAAGCAGGAAAUGAACACCCCCCCCUUCAGCUGGUACCCACUGUGCAUGCAGUGCGAAGCUGGGUUUGGGCCUCCUUACUCGGCCUUGGACACGGGACAGGGAGAGAAGACGGGGAGAGGAGGACGCAGCACCAACAGGUGUGGUCAGCCUGGAGAAGUCUUUGGGUCCGGGGACUCCCCGAGAUGGGCAGAGAGAGGCAGUGGACUCAGCUCAAGGAGCCGCUCUCCAGCCGCCUGGCCAGGCCCCUGGCUUCCCACUUCCUGGCGGAGGGGGUCGGGGGAGGUGCCCAGAAGGAAAUGGGCCUGGCGGAGGAGGGGCUUAUGAUUCAUAUUUUAAGUUUAUGUUUUAAUUUACAUGCAGAAAAAUUAACUUUUUUUGGUGUAUAGGUUUUUGAGUUUUGAGAAAGACAAGCGCCCGAUCGCGAACAGUUCCGCCGAGCGAUGGAGGGGGCGUUUGCAAUCUCCCGGCCUCUUACAGCUGCGGCGGUCGUCCGUGCUCCCCCGGGCCGCAAUAACACAGUCCCCGUGCACUCGCCGAGAUGAAUAACGACAGGUGGAGCAGGUGAGUCUAGCGGGACCCGGGUGGUUAAAUUGAGUGAGGAGGUAUUUUCGCUGAAUUUUAUGCAGUAGCUAUAUAG